AUUGAACGCUGGCGGCAUGCCUUACACAUGCAAGUCGAACGGCAGCACGGGUGCUUGCACCUGGUGGCGAGUGGCGAACGGGUGAGUAAUACAUCGGAACAUGUCCUGUAGUGGGGGAUAGCCCGGCGAAAGCCGGAUUAAUACCGCAUACGAUCCACGGAUGAAAGCGGGGGACCUUCGGGCCUCGCGCUAUAGGGUUGGCCGAUGGCUGAUUAGCUAGUUGGUGGGGUAAAGGCCUACCAAGGCGACGAUCAGUAGCUGGUCUGAGAGGACGACCAGCAACACGGGGACGGAGACACGGCCCAGACUCCAACGGAGGCAGCAGUGGGGAAUUUUGGACAAUGGGCGAAAGCCUGAUCCAGCAAUGCCGCGUGUGAAGAAGGCCUUCGGGUUGUAAAGCACUUUUGUCCGGAAAGAAAUCCUUGACUCUAAUACAGUCGGGGGAUGACGGUACCGGAAGAAUAAGCACCGGCUAACUACGUG
rnacentral:rRNA from 1 species